AUGUACGACGGUUCCAAGCCCACCUCGGAGAUGAGGAACUCAGACCUGCGCUGCAUCCGUCCACGUGAACGUGUUCUUCAAGUGCUCCACCCUGGCUGCGAUCUCCUCCUUGCUGAAAGAUGCAACAGCAUUCAGCGCGUGCCUGAACAUCCCAGAGUAACGGGGUACACCGAUGCUUUCAGCGCAUCCCACCAUCUCCUGGACACGCUCCGGGUUGGUGAUGAUUAUCCUCGGUCUUUGGAGGCACAAUUUGGCAAUAUCGCAAUCUCGUAA
rnacentral:rRNA from 1 species